rnacentral:rRNA from 1 species
CAGCAGCCACGGUAAUACCGAGGGUGCAAGCGUUAAUCGGAAUUACUGGGCGUAAAGCGCGCGUAGGUGGUUUGUUAAGUUGGAUGUGAAAUCCCCGGGCUCAACCUGGGAACUGUAUUCAAAACUGACUGACUAGAGUAUGGUAGAGGGUGGUGGAAUUUCCUGUGUAGCGGUGAAAUGCGUAGAUAUAGGAAGGAACACCAGUGGCGAAGGCGACCACCUGGACUAAUACUGACACUGAGGUGCGAAAGCGUGGGGAGCAAACAGGAUUAGAUACCCCGGUAGUCCCUGUCUCUUAUAC